rnacentral:piRNA from 1 species
UGAUGGCCAUGAUUGUAGAUCGUGAUGCACU